CCUACGGGGGGCUGCAGUGGGGAAUAUUGGACAAUGGGGGCAACCCUGAUCCAGCCAUGCCGCGUGUGUGAAGAAGGCCCUCGGGUUGUAAAGCACUUUCAGUGAGGAAGAACGCCUGGUGGUUAAUACCCAUCAGGAAAGACAUCACUCACAGAAGAAGCACCGGCUAACUCCGUGCCAGCAGCCGCGGUAAUACGGAGGGUGCGAGCGUUAAUCGGAAUUACUGGGCGUAAAGCGCGCGUAGGUGGCUUGAUAAGCCGGUUGUGAAAGCCCCGGGCUCAACCUGGGAACGGCAUCCGGAACUGUCAAGCUAGAGUGCAGGAAAGGAAGGUAGAAUUCCCGGUGUAGCGGUGAAAUGCGUAGAGAUCGGGAGGAAUACCAGUGGCGAAGGCGGCCUUCUGGACUGACACUGACACUGAGGUGCGAAAGCGUGGGUAGCAAACAGGAUUAGAUACCCUAGUAGUC
rnacentral:rRNA from 1 species